GGAGGGAUGGCAGAGCGGACGAAUGCGCGGCUCUUGAAAAGCCGUGAGGCGCGAGCCUCCGUGGGUUCGAAUCCCACUCCCUCCG
rnacentral:tRNA from 1 species